ACGGGAGGCAGCAGUGGGGAAUAUUGGGCAAUGGACGCAAGUCUGACCCAGCAACGCCGCGUGAAGGAAGAAGGCUUUCGGGUUGUAAACUUCUUUUACCAGGGACGAAGACGUGACGGUACCUGGAGAAAAAGCCACGGCUAACUACGUGCCAGCAGCCGCGGUAAUACGUAGGUGGCAAGCGUUGUCCGGAUUUACUGGGCGUAAAGGGCGUGUAGGCGGAGCGGCAAGUCAGAUGUGAAAUCUUCGGGCUCAACCCGGAAACUGCAUUUGAAACUGUCGCCCUUGAGUAUCGGAGAGGCAGGCGGAAUUCCUAGUGUAGCGGUGAAAUGCGUAGAUAUUAGGAGGAACACCAGUGGCGAAGGCGGCCUGCUGGACGACAACUGACGCUGAGGCGCGAAAGCGUGGGGAGCAAACAGGAUUAGAUACCCUGGUA
rnacentral:rRNA from 1 species